UUCUAUGGUUUCAUUCAGUGC
rnacentral:piRNA from 1 species